UGCAAGUCGAGCGGUAGCACAAGGGAGCUUGCUCCCUGGGUGACGAGCGGCGGACGGGUGAGUAAUGUCUGGGAAACUGCCUGAUGGAGGGGGAUAACUACUGGAAACGGUAGCUAAUACCGCAUAACGUCGCAAGACCAAAGAGGGGGACCUUCGGGCCUCUUGCCAUCAGAUGUGCCCAGAUGGGAUUAGCUAGUAGGUGGGGUAAUGGCUCACCUAGGCGACGAUCCCUAGCUGGUCUGAGAGGAUGACCAGCCACACUGGAACUGAGACACGGUCCAGACUCCUACGGGAGGCAGCAGUGGGGAAUAUUGCACAAUGGGCGCAAGCCUGAUGCAGCCAUGCCGCGUGUGUGAAGAAGGCCUUCGGGUUGUAAAGCACUUUCAGCGAGGAGGAAGGUGGUGAACUUAAUACGUUCAUCAAUUGACGUUACUCGCAGAAGAAGCACCGGCUAACUCCGUGCCAGCAGCCGCGGUAAUACGGAGGGUGCAAGCGUUAAUCGGAAUUACUGGGCGUAAAGCGCACGCAGGCGGUUUGUUAAGUCAGAUGUGAAAUCCCCGGGCUCAACCUGGGAACUGCAUUUGAAACUGGCAA
rnacentral:rRNA from 1 species